UCCAUUUCCAUGUAUUUGUUUUCCUGAUUGAACCAAUAACUAUUCAUGUUAGGAUUAUUAGGAGCGUAAUGCCCUUGACUUAUUCAAACUCUAAAUAGGUAGGACACUCCGGCUUCUUUAUUGAGUCACAACACAGAAUCAAGAACUACAAGUGGGACAUAUUUGUUAAGUAGAUCCGACAAUACGGGAAUGAAAUUAAAGUCGAUUUAUGUUGCUCUACUAUGCGCUAAUUAGAUCCAUUAACGGUUGUUAGUUGACUAAGAUGGCAAGCUGGUGGUCAUAUAAGUCAAAUUGUUGCAAAGUAUUGUUUUGAAAUUCACCAACCGAACCAACUAGGCCUAAAAAUAGAUGGCAUUGAAGUGUGCGAUUUAUAUCCAACUAGAGGGAAAAUGCUAGGCCCCUAUGA
rfam:Beta vulgaris subsp. vulgaris Bvchr8.sca018.con0142.1, whole genome shotgun sequence.